rnacentral:rRNA from 1 species
AGGUGAUCCAACCGCAGGUUCCCCUACGGUUACCUUGUUACGACUUCACCCCAGUCAUGAAUCACAAAGUGGUAAGCGCCCUCCCGAAGGUUAAGCUACCUACUUCUUUUGCAACCCACUCCCAUGGUGUGACGGGCGGUGUGUACAAGGCCCGGGAACGUAUUCACCGUGGCAUUCUGAUCCACGAUUACUAGCGAUUCCGACUUCAUGGAGUCGAGUUGCAGACUCCAAUCCGGACUACGACGCACUUUAUGAGGUCCGCUUGCUCUCGCGAGGUCGCUUCUCUUUGUAUGCGCCAUUGUAGCACGUGUGUAGCCCUGGUCGUAAGGGCCAUGAUGACUUGACGUCAUCCCCACCUUCCUCCAGUUUAUCACUGGCAGUCUCCUUUGAGUUCCCGGCCGGACCGCUGGCAACAAAGGAUAAGGGUUGCGCUCGUUGCGGGACUUAACCCAACAUUUCACAACACGAGCUGACGACAGCCAUGCAGCACCUGUCUCACAGUUCCCGAAGGCACCAAUCCAUCUCUGGAAAGUUCUGUGGAUGUCAAGACCAGGUAAGGUUCUUCGCGUUGCAUCGAAUUAAACCACAUGCUCCACCGCUUGUGCGGGCCCCCGUCAAUUCAUUUGAGUUUUAACCUUGCGGCCGUACUCCCCAGGCGGUCGACUUAACGCGUUAGCUCCGGAAGCCACGCCUCAAGGGCACAACCUCCAAGUCGACAUCGUUUACGGCGUGGACUACCAGGGUAUCUAAUCCUGUUUGCUCCCCACGCUUUCGCACCUGAGCGUCAGUCUUCGUCCAGGGGGCCGCCUUCGCCACCGGUAUUCCUCCAGAUCUCUACGCAUUUCACCGCUACACCUGGAAUUCUACCCCCCUCUACGAGACUCAAGCUUGCCAGUAUCAGAUGCAGUUCCCAGGUUGAGCCCGGGGAUUUCACAUCUGACUUAACAAACCGCCUGCGUGCGCUUUACGCCCAGUAAUUCCGAUUAACGCUUGCACCCUCCGUAUUACCGCGGCUGCUGGCACGGAGUUAGCCGGUGCUUCUUCUGCGGGUAACGUCAAUGAGCAAAGGUAUUAACUUUACUCCCUUCCUCCCCGCUGAAAGUACUUUACAACCCGAAGGCCUUCUUCAUACACGCGGCAUGGCUGCAUCAGGCUUGCGCCCAUUGUGCAAUAUUCCCCACUGCUGCCUCCCGUAGGAGUCUGGACCGUGUCUCAGUUCCAGUGUGGCUGGUCAUCCUCUCAGACCAGCUAGGGAUCGUCGCCUUGGUGAGCCGUUACCCCACCAACAAGCUAAUCCCAUCUGGGCACAUCCGAUGGCAAGAGGCCCGAAGGUCCCCCUCUUUGGUCUUGCGACGUUAUGCGGUAUUAGCUACCGUUUCCAGUAGUUAUCCCCCUCCAUCAGGCAGUUUCCCAGACAUUACUCACCCGUCCGCCACUCGUCAGCGAAACAGCAAGCUGCUUCCUGUUACCGUUCGACUUGCAUGUGUUAGGCCUGCCGCCAGCGUUCAAUCUGAGCCAUGAUCAAACUCU